UACGGGGGGCAAGCGUUGUUCGGAAUUACUGGGCGUAAAGGGCUCGUAGGCGGCCAACUAAGUCAUACGUGAAAUCCCUCGGCUUAACCGGGGAACUGCGUCUGAUACUGGAUGGCUUGAGUUCGGGAGAGGGAUGCGGAAUUCCAGGUGUAGCGGUGAAAUGCGUAGAUAUCUGGAGGAACACCGGUGGCGAAGGCGGCAUCCUGGACCGAUACUGACGCUGAGGAGCGAAAGCCAGGGGAGCAAACGGG
rnacentral:rRNA from 1 species